rnacentral:rRNA from 1 species
GAUGAACGCUAGCGGCGGGCUUAAUACAUGCAAGUCAAGGGGUAGCAAUACACCGGCGUACGGGUGCGUAACGCGUAUGGAACCUGCCCUUAUCUGGGGGAUAACUCGGGGAAACUCGAGCUAAUACCGCAUAAGAUAGUAGAAUGGCAUCAUUCAGCUAUUAAAGAUUUAUCGGAUAAGGAUGGCCAUGCGUAAGAUUAGAUAGUUGGUGGGGUAACGGCUCACCAAGUCUACGAUCUUUGGGGGCUCUGAGAGGAGAAUCCCCCCACACUGGCAAUGAGAUACGGGCCAGACUCCUACGGGAGGCAGCAGUAGGGAAUAUUGGGCAAUGGGCGGAAGCCUGACCCAGCCACGCCGCGUGCAGGAAGAAGGCCCUCUGGGUUGUAAACUGCUUUUGAUUGGGAAGAAAGCAUCUCAUGCGUGGGAUUUUGACGGUACCAAUCGAAUAAGCCACGGCUAACUACGUGCCAGCAGCCGCAGUAACAC